GGCAGGCAGGCAGGCAUCCUGUGGGCACACAUCCCCAGGAACUGUACAAUGUGGAAUACUGUAACAUUAGAGCAAACGCACAAGGUGCCUGAAUAACAAAACAAAGGUUGAGAGGUGUAUUCUGCUAUGAGAGCGCGGAGAGCUCGCUCUCUACGGCUUUCUGAGGGGAACGAAAGCUUCUACUUGAUGCUGCCGGCGGAAAGUGCGCGCUGCAGGGCGGCGGCGCAGUCACAAGCGCCCAUCAAAGCCUCUGCUGCAAGCGGGAGGAACCUGGCAGUGACAGGCCGAAUCAAGGCCUACACAGGAAGGAGUACUGGAAGGACUGAGGAGAUAUUGUCUUAAUGUACAGACAGACCAGGAGGCAAGCUGGCAGCAGAGAGAGAUCACCUGGGCAUAAGAGGGGAGGCCUACUCUUAACAUCACACCUCCAGCAGGAUACUCACUGUAAACAAUGGCUAACCCCACCCCCAAUCUCCAGCUUCAGCCAGACAUUCUCAAAUUGAAUUAAGGUCCUGUUCUGUGCUGCACCCCCUCGGACCGCUUCGAGAGCCCCCCUGAACCCCCUUGGCCCGGUCCUGUUCCCCUCAUCCAGCCGCCUCGGACUAAUUAAAACCGGUGUGGCCUUGUCUUCGCUGGAUUAACCCUAACGAGGAUCUACUGACUCCACCAGCAUGUGCCUCUUGAUGAGAGAGAGAGAGAGAGAGAGAGAGAGAGAGAGAGAGAGAGAGAGAGAGAGAGAGAGAGAGAGAGAGAGAGAGAGAGAGAGAGAGAGAGAGAGAGCGAGAGAGAGCGAGAGAGAGAGAGAGAGAGAGAGAGCGAGACAGAGCGAGACAGACAGACAGACAGACAGACAGACAGACAGACAGAAAGAGAAAUGGGAGGAUUUGUCCAGGCAACCUUAGCCUUGAAACCCAACACUUAAUUCACUACAGAUGAUACAGAAAAUGUGGAAGAGAGAGAGAGAAAGAGACAAAUAUACUUAUGUUGAUAGUUUAAAUCACUAGUGUGUGUAGUGUUUUAAAAACUGUUAGUGAACACAUUGAAACGUGGCCUUAUUGUGAAGAGAGUCAUAAAACGGACCUCUGGUCAGCCCUCUAUGAAUCCAUUUGAUUCCAUCAUACAGAGAGAUGAAUGUCAAUUCUCUUUCUUUCUUUGUGUGUGUGUGUGCCAGGGGCAGAGAAAAAUGUAAUUCUCUGGCUUUGAUAAUGCAUU